CCCUUAGAUGUUCUGAACCGCACGCGUGUUACACUGAUGCAUUCAACGAGCUUUACCUUGGCCGAGAGGCCUGGGAAAUCUUUUUAGCAUGCAUCGUGAUAGGGAUUGAUUAUUGCAAUUAUUAAUCAUGAACGAGGAAUUCCUAGUAAACGCAUUUCAUCAAAAUGCAUUGAUUACGUCCCUGCCCUUUGUACACACCGCCCGUCGCACCUACCGAUUGAGUGGUCCGGUGAAGUCUCGAGAUUGUGGCAAUCUCCCUUAUUGGAGUUUGACUGCGAGAACUUGCCUAAACCUUAUCACUUAGAGGAAGGUGAAGUCGUAACA
rnacentral:rRNA from 1 species